GACGAACGCUGGCGGCGUGCUUAACACAUGCAAGUCGAACGGAAAGGCCCUGCUUUUGUGGGGUGCUCGAGUGGCGAACGGGUGAGUAACACGUGAGUAACCUGCCCUUGACUUUGGGAUAACCUCAGGAAACUGGGGCUAAUACCGGAUAGGAGCUCCUGCUGCAUGGUGGGGGUUGGAAAGUUUCGGCGGUUGGGGAUGGACUCGCGGCUUAUCAGCUUGUUGGUGGGGUAGUGGCUUACCAAAGCUUUGACGGGUAGCCGGCCUGAGAGGGUGACCGGCCACAUUGGGACUGAGAUACGGCCCAGACUCCUACGGGAGGCAGCAGUGGGGAAUAUUGCACAAUGGGCGGAAGCCUGAUGCAGCAACGCCGCGUGCGGGAUGACGGCCUUCGGGUUGUAAACCGCUUUCGCCUGUGACGAAGCGUGAGUGACGGUAAUGGGUAAAGAAGCACCGGCUAACUACGUGCCAGCAGCCGCGGUGAUACGUAGGGUGCGAGCGUUGUCCGGAUUUAUUGGGCGUAAAGGGCUCGUAGGUGGUUGAUCGCGUCGGAAGUGUAAUCUUGGGGCUUAACCCUGAGCGUGCUUUCGAUACGGGUUGACUUGAGGAAGGUAGGGGAGAAUGGAAUUCCUGGUGGAGCGGUGGAAUGCGCAGAUAUCAGGAGGAACACCAGUGGCGAAGGCGGUCCUCUGGGCCUUUCCUGACGCUGAGGAGCGAAAGCGUGGGGAGCGAACAGGCUUAGAUACCCUGGUAGUCCACGCUGUAAACGGUGGGUACUAGGUGUGGGGUCCAUUCCACGGGUUCCGUGCCGUAGCUAACGCUUUAAGUACCCCGCCUGGGGAGUACGGCCGCAAGGCUAAAACUCAAAGGAAUUGACGGGGCCCCGCACAAGCGGCGGAGCAUGCGGAUUAAUUCGAUGCAACGCGUAGAACCUUACCUGGGUUUGACAUGGAUCGGGAGUGCUCAGAGAUGGGUGUGCCUCUUUUGGGGUCGGUUCACAGGUGGUGCAUGGCUGUCGUCAGCUCGUGUCGUGAGAUGUUGGGUUAAGUCCCGCAACGAGCGCAACCCUUGUUCACUGUUGCCAGCACGUUAUGGUGGGGACUCAGUGGAGACCGCCGGGGUCAACUCGGAGGAAGGUGGGGAUGACGUCAAGUCAUCAUGCCCCUUAUGUCCAGGGCUUCACGCAUGCUACAAUGGCUGGUACAGAGAGUGGCGAGCCUGUGAGGGUGAGCGAAUCUCGGAAAGCCGGUCUCAGUUCGGAUUGGGGUCUGCAACUCGACCUCAUGAAGUCGGAGUCGCUAGUAAUCGCAGAUCAGCAACGCUGCGGUGAAUACGUUCCCGGG
rnacentral:rRNA from 1 species